UACGGAGGGUGCGAGCGUUGUCCGGAAUCAUUGGGCGUAAAGGGCGCGUAGGUGGCCCGGUCAGUUCGUGGUGAAAGCGCGGGGCUCAACUGGGGAGGGUCACGCGAUACUGCUCGACUCGAAGGCAGGAGAGGGAAGUGGAAUUCCCGGUGUAGUGGUGAAAUGCGUAGAUAUCGGGAGGAACACCAGUGGCGAAGGCGACUUCCUGGCCUGUUCUUGACGCUGAGGCGCGAAAGCUAGGGUAGCAAACGGG
rnacentral:rRNA from 1 species